rnacentral:rRNA from 1 species
GGACCCGCACAAGCGGUGGAGUAUGUGGCUUAAUUCGAUGCAACGCGAAGAACCUUACCUAGGCUUGACAUGCAUCUCUAAACCGGUGAAAGCCGGGGAGCGGAGCAAUCCGUAAUUUGCACAGGUGCUGCAUGGCUGUCGUCAGCUCGUGUCGUGAGAUGUUUGUUAAGUCCAGCAACGAGCGCAACCCCUGUGAUUAGUUACCAGCACGUAAUGGUGGGGACUCUAGUCAGACUGCCCAGAUCAACUGGGAGGAAGGUGGGGACGACGUCAAGUCAGUAUGGUCCUUACGCCUAGGGCUGCACACGUACUACAAUGCCCAGUACAAUGUGAACCGAGACCGUAAGGUGGAGGAAA